UCGGGAAUAUUGCGCAAUGGAGGAAACUCUGACGCAGUGACGCCGCGUGCAGGAAGAAGGUUUCGGAUUGUAAACUGCUUUAGACAGGGAAGAUGAUGACAGUACCUGUAGAAUAAGCUCCGGCUAACUACGUGCCAGCAGCCGCGGUAAUACGUAGGGAGCAAGCGUUAUCCGGAUUUAUUGGGUGUAAAGGGUGCGUAGACGGGAAGGCAAGUUGGUUGUGAAAUCCCUCGGCUUAACUGAGGAACUGCAACCAAAACUAUCUUUCUUGAGUGCUGGAGAGGAAAGUGGAAUUCCUAGUGUAGCGGUGAAAUGCGUAGAUAUUGGGAGGAACACCAGUGGCGAAGGCGGCUUACUGGACGGUAACUGACGUUGAGGCUCGAAAGCGUGGGGAGCAAACAGGAUUAGAUACC
rnacentral:rRNA from 1 species